rnacentral:lncRNA from 1 species
UUAGUUGACACGCAAUAAUUUUUUUAUUUAUUUCCUCUUCUGGGAAACAUGGUACACGUAAAUAGAUAAAGAAAAUCUCUUGUAAAUCUCAAGAGAUCAUAUCAAUUGAACAUAAACGAACUAACACUCGCACGAUUGAUAGGUAAAGCAAUACCCAUAUUUUUAUUCAGUUAAACACAACAGAAAAUAAUAACAUUUUAAUUAACCAGUGCGGUCGGCAUUUCUCCCAUAUUGAGGGACAACAAGAAAAUCAAGAUCCUCGUUCGCAAUGCCAUCGUCUGAAAUGCUGAGAAGAGGAAAUAGUGCAACGACCCCCUCCGACCAACUUUUAUCUCCUGAAAAUUUAUAAUAGAAAACUUUGUCGUAAGUAUACAUUUCAAAAUUAUAAGAAUCGUAAUUCAACUGAAAAUGGCCUAAAAACCUGCGCAAGUAGUUUCCAUAUUCUUCAAAUCGAAAAGAUCUCUGCUUCGGUAGUCAAAACUCAAGAAGUAAUCAAGUUGCUUCUGCGAGUUUUCGCUAUUUGUGAAAUACACAUAUAUGGUCUAUGUAUAUAUAGACUGAAGUAGUCGACAAUAGGGCCAUGGUGGGUGAUUGGGGCGCAUUUAAUUAUUUACAAGACGAACUAACAGCAUUACAUAAUAUCGUCUUUUCUUUGAAAAUGCUCUGUUGUUUUCUGAAACAUUUUUUAAUGGCUCAGAAGCAUCUCAUGGCAGAUAAUUGAAGAUCUGUAGUCGGUGCUGGACUCGACAAACAUAUUCCUUUAAUUUGCUGGCAAUAUAUAUAGUCUAUCAGCCAUAAUUCAUAAUAUGUAAAUAUAUAAAUUCAAGCAGAUGCCAGAUCAACGGCUGAUGCUUAGAUUAGUAGAAAACACGAGGGAGCCAGCUAAGACCAUGGACAGCUAACAGAAAUCGUUCAAGGUCAGCAUCAAAAUUAAGGUUACAGUUAGAAUUGAUACCUUUUUAUAUUAAUUAAUACGGAAAUACAAUCUCUUUCGAUAUCACUUCACUUGAUUCUCGCAAUCCAAAGUCAAAUUUCAUAAUAUAUUUGAUGUUAUCAAAUUUCUAAUUUAUGACAUUGUCACUGUUGGCGACUUGAAUUUAUAUAUUUAUUAUAUAUAUUAUGUUGUACACAUAUUUGUCCAAAAUUGGACCCAAUGGCAUAAACGAAUGGGCAGCGGUGAUACCACCUUCACCGCUGCUAGAAAGCAGCCAAAAACGGCCACACGAAGCUGAGGUUUCUAGCGCAAAAGGUCACCACAAUUGGCGCGAACUGCUGGAUUUCAAACCCGGUACCACCAGGAAUUUUCUCCUCACGAUAGUGGCCGGCGAGCCUCAAGCUCCUUGUUCUCGAUCUUGUAAUGCGUAUUUCAGCGUCAUACUCGUAGGCCUCAAUUUUAUAAUACGAACCACAGCCUCAUGCUCAUAGGGCUCAUUUAUAUGUAAUACAUAUCUCGAUCUCUUGUGCCCAUAUUUUUAUCUUGCUUUAAUCAAAACAUCAAUAAAAACUACUUAACACACCCAAAUUUUUGAAAAAAAAAAUAGGACAUAUACACUUACUGGUCGAGAAAAAUCAGUUUUUAAAUUUUUUUAAAAACUUAGGACCGAUCUCAUACAAUACAUAGGAAUUCAUAAUCUAGAAAAUCAUACAUUGACAAUCCAUUUUGGUUUUUUCGCUGAAUUAAUCUAGCCUCCUAUAUCACAAUCCGUCACCACCACUUAUGUUAGAUCAUGAUCCGUCACCACCAAUCUUGUUAGAUCACGAUCCGUCACCAAUGAUCCUCCAGGUUGUGACUCAAGUUUGAUCUGCACUUGACGUGUAGGCGCCUUAAUUAGGCCUGUAAUUAAACUAGCCCAAUGAUUUAAUUUCAAAUCCACUCCACUAAAAUAUUGGAAUUGACCUCCAUAAUUGUAUACUAUCUGGGAUAGUAUUUUUGAAUAAUAAUUCGACCCAUGCCACAUUGAUUUCUUUACUGCAUAAUCCUUUGUACCACAUCGUUAAUUAAAUCGAUAUCUCAGCUGUACAAUCAAUUUAAUUACAUCUUGUUCCUUCAUACUUACUGGUUUUCUCUAAUGAUCAUUUUCAACAUACUAAAUAUGUUGACACACUCUGGCCAGAGAAUUUAUGAUCAAGUGCCGAAAACUCAUUAAGUGAUGUGUUGUACAAAUUCAAUAUUGUUAAUCUAUAACUCUAAUACUCAUAAUUGCUCUCACUAAGAUACCGAGUAAUCUUGACUACAAGUGUGUAUCUUGCCCAUUGGUAACUCAAAUGGAAUAACAAUUACAAUCAUGAAAUUAUAACUAACUCAAGAUUAAGAUUACAGUAAAAUCAAUGCCUAUGAGAUUUAAUAAGUCUGACAGUUAUUACAAAGUUAAUUAAAUCUAAUAUGUGAUCUUGUUCAAUGUAGUCGUACUACAUCAAUAAAUUCAUAGAUGAUUAAGACAAAUCAUUCAAUGAAUUUAUUACAGUCUAUACCUAAAUAAAGUGCUCAACUUUAUUUAUUAACUGUGAACUAAAUUUAUUUAAUCAUAAGAUAACUUAUAUUUAUGUCUUCUGUGAAUCCACAUGGUGAUUAAAUAAAUAUAUAUAAUAUGAUUAAAUGGACUUUACUCAAAAUAUUAAUGCAAUUAAGAUACUUGAAUAAAAUACCUCAUUUAUUUUAUUAAUCAGAAAAAUUAUUUAUUACAAUUAAAUAAAUACAUAUACUUUUAAAGAGCAUAUUUCCCAACACUUACAACCAUGGUCAAGUCAAGAUAUGUAAAUAAAUUCUUUAACUCAAUUUUAUUUAUAAUUAGUUUUCAUUUAAUUUAACACAAAUGUUCGAUAUUGGGAACGUGCACCAAAAAAACACUUGCGAUUUACAAAGAACGUGAUGGCAAGAAAAGAAGAAUAACGAAUAAGAAGUGGAAUAGGUUUAAGACGUCAACUUUUUUUAGUUAAUUUUUAAAAUCAGGAAAAGAAUGCUAUUUUUACUGUACUUUUAUUUUAUUUUUUGAAAAAUUAAAAGGGUCACACGAUUCUAGUGAAAAGCUUUCAAAAUAUUGAUUUUCUUCUCGCUCAAUUAAGGUACGGUUUGAUUUUUUGAAAAAAAAGAAGAAUAAAACAUGUCAAUUAGACAUUUCCAUUUAGAUUUAUUUAGACUUUAAUUAAAUUCAAAUCUAUUCAGAUAUCAGACAAAAAAAUAAAUGCAACCAAAGUAUUGUUUAAGAUACUAUAAAUUUUUAUUUUUUUAUGGUUUAAGGUGUAGGGAAAAUAUACUCUUUAAAAGCAUAUGUGUUUAUUUAAUUUUAAUAAAUAAUUUUUCUGAUUAAUAAAAUAAAUGAGGUAUUUUAUUCAAGUAUCUUAAUUGCAUUAAUAUUUUGAGUAAAGUUCAUUUAAUCAUAUUAUAUGUAUUUAUGUGAUCACCAUAUGGAUUCACAGAAGACAUAAAUGCAAGUUAUCUUCUGAUUGAAUAAAUUAAGUUUACAGUUAAUAAAUAAAGUUGGGCACUUUAUUUAGGUAUAGACUGUAAUAAAUUUAUUGAAUGAUUUGUCUUAAUCAUGUAUGAAUUUAUUGAUGUAGUACGACUACAUUGAACAUGACCACAUAUGAGAUUUAAUUAACUUUGUAAUAACUGUAAGACUUAUUAAAACUCAUGCAUUGAUUUUACUGUAAUCUUAAUCUUGAGUUAGUCAUGAUUUCAUGAUUGUAAUUGUUAUUCCAUUUGAGUUACCAAUAGGCACGACAAACACUUAUAGUCAAGAUUAUCCGGUAUCUUAGUGGGAGCAGUUAUGAGUAUUGUAAUUAUAGAUUAACAAUAUUGAAUUUGUACAACACAUCUCUUGAUGGGUUUUCGGCACUUGAUCAUAGAAUUCUCUGGUCAGAGUGUGUCAACAUAUUUAGUAUGUUGAAAAUGAUCAUUAGAGAAAACCAGUAAGUAUCAAGGAACAAAAUGUAAUUAAAUUGAUUGGACAGUUGAGAUAUCGAUUUAAUUAAUGAUGUGGUACAAAGGAUUAUAUAGUAAAGAAAUCAAUGUGGCAUGGGUCAAAUUAUUAUUCGAAAACAUUGUCCCAGAUAGCAUACAAUUGUGGAGGUCAAUUCCAAUCUUUUAGUGGAGUAGAUUUGGAAUUAAAUAAUUGGGCUAGUUUAAUUACAUGCAUAAUUAUUGUAGCCACUAUUGUAUGUACCCAUAUAAUCCUCGGGUUAGCUCAUUUAAUUGACUGCACCGCUAAUGGAUUAAUAAGCAAGAUAACUAGCUAUUUGAGUUAAAAGCCUAAAUGUAUUAUUUAGUGGGAGAGUCCAUUUAAUGUGUUUGUGUGUAAGGAGCCUUGUGUUAUUUUACAAGGUGGGCCCCUAUAACACGAGAACAAGUAACGCCACUUUGGUUUUAUUGUUUUUUAAUUUAAAUCAAAUAAUUUAAAUCAAAUGUGAUUUAAUAGAAUUAAAAAAAUUAAAAAAUAUGGAGUCUAGGGUUUCCACCAAAUAGAAAUAUAAAAGGGCUUGUUUUCUCUAAAAAAGAAGAUAGUAGUCACAUUAUACAGAUCAGAGAAAAAUAUUUUUCUCUUUCUAAUUUUGAGAGGAACAUUUUCUCUUGCUUGUGGCUUUUAGUUGUGAUAAAGGCGCCCACACGUCAAGUGCAGAUCAAACUUGAGUCAUAACCUGAAAGAUCAUUGGUGAUGGAUCGUGAUCUAACAAGAUUGGUGGUGACGGAUCGUGAUCUAACAUGAGUAGUGGUGAUGGAUCGUGAUCUGGAAGCCUAGAUUAAUUCAGUGAAAAAGCCAAAUCAGAUUGUCAAGACAUGAUUUUCUAGAUUACGAAUUCCUAUGUAUUGUAUGAGAUCAGUCCUAAAAAUUUUUUAUAAAAUAUUUAAAAAAACUGAUUUUUCUCCAACAUAAGGCAUGAGAAAUACAUGUUAAACAAUGGGUCUGUUAUAAUAGGUGUUCGAAACAAUUAUGCUAUAUUACCUCAUAAUAAAUUGUCUUUAACCGUAAUUCACAUAACGAAAAUCUUUAUAAUAAAUUGUUUUGUUAAGAGCGCAGCUAUUUGAACAAAAAAAAAAAAAAACUCUUAACAAUGAUAAUUUUACAAUAAUUUUUAUUAUCAAAUUAUCCAUUAUGACAAUUACCAUUAUGGACCAAAAAAAGAAAACGCCGUAGUUGCUAGGAAGUGAAUGAAAAUUCUGCUUAAACUAAGUUUUGAAGAUACAAAAUCAAAUACCAAAAGCAAACAAUAGAAAGGAAAAAUGAGAAUCUCUAAGGCUUUAAGAAAAAUAGAAUCGUCGAUAUGUAUAACUAAAAAUUAAUUAAGCUGAUUUGAACUCUAUGGCAUUUAUGGAGAUGAAUGAAAAAAGCAAGAAGAAUGUUUUGCGCCUUGCAAGUACGAUAAAAAAUUAUAAAGACUUUCAUGAAGGCCAGUGGAUGAAAAAGAAAUCGAUAAUUUCAUUGUAAUUUAAUAUUAGCAAGGUUGAUCAGAGUUAGACCCCUUAUGUUGUAACCAUUUGGUAUGAUAUAAAAGGGUGUGAGAAAAGAAAAAAACAGUGAAUGAAGAAGAAGAAAACAAGAAGAAGAAGAAGAAGAAGAAAAUUUAUCGGGUAAUUUAAUAUCAGGAUUAUUUUUGGAUUUUUGAAAGAUUUAUAGAGUAAUUUUUUUAUUUUUAAAUUUACAUUGCGUGUCUGUUGAGAAAAUGGGUGUGGAGAGUGAAUUUUUGGGAUCAAAUAGUUAGACCUUUUUAUUAAAAGUUUGAAAAUUUGAUUUCAAACAGUUCAAUGUCAGAUGAAUAACCAUCAUUUAACAAUAUUGCUAUUUUAAAAGGCUCAAGCUCUAAAUUUAUAUUGUAUAUUGAAUAAAUUAUGACCCAGGGAUCACUUGCUAACUCCAAGAAUCAGCUAAUGAAUAUGUGAAAUUUAUUUCAGAAAAUUAUCCAACAAGAGAGAGCAUAAUUUAGUUGACACACAAUAAUUUUUUUUUUUUAUGUCCUCUUCUGGGAAACAUGGUACACGUAAAUAGACAAAGAAAAUCUUUUGUAUAUCUCAAGAGAUCAUAUUAAUUGAACAUAAACGAACUAACACUCGCUUGAUUGAUAGGUAAAGCAGUACCCAUAUUUUUAUUUAAUUAAACACAACAGAAAAUAAUAACAUUUUAAUUAACCAGUGCGGUCGGCAUUUCUCCCAUAUUGAGGGACAACAAGAAAAUCAAGAUCCUCAUUCGCAAUGCCACCAUCUGAAAUGCUGAGAAGAGGAAAUAGUGCAACGACCCCCUCCGACCAACUGUUAUCUCCUGAAAAUUUAUAAUAGAAAACUUAGUCGUAAGUAACAUUUCAAAAUUAUAAGAAUCGUAAUUCAACUGAAAAUGGCCUAAAAACCUGCGCAAGUAGUUUCCAUAUUCUUCAAAUCGAAAAGAUCUCUGCUUCGGUAGUCAAAACUUAAGAAGUAAUCAAGUUGCUUCUGCGAGUUUUUG